UGCAAGUCGUACGCUUCUUUUUUCCACCGGAGCUUGCUCCACCGGAAAAAGAAGAGUGGCGAACGGGUGAGUAACACGUGGGUAACCUGCCCAUCAGAAGGGGAUAACACUUGGAAACAGGUGCUAAUACCGUAUAACAAUCGAAACCGCAUGGUUUUGAUUUGAAAGGCGCUUUCGGGUGUCGCUGAUGGAUGGACCCGCGGUGCAUUAGCUAGUUGGUGAGGUAACGGCUCACCAAGGCCACGAUGCAUAGCCGACCUGAGAGGGUGAUCGGCCACAUUGGGACUGAGACACGGCCCAAACUCCUACGGGAGGCAGCAGUAGGGAAUCUUCGGCAAUGGACGAAAGUCUGACCGAGCAACGCCGCGUGAGUGAAGAAGGUUUUCGGAUCGUAAAACUCUGUUGUUAGAGAAGAACAAGGAUGAGAGUAACUGUUCAUCCCUUGACGGUAUCUAACCAGAAAGCCACGGCUAACUACGUGCCAGCAGCCGCGGUAAUACGUAGGUGGCAAGCGUUGUCCGGAUUUAUUGGGCGUAAAGCGAGCGCAGGCGGUUUCUUAAGUCUGAUGUGAAAGCCCCCGGCUCAACCGGGGAGGGUCAUUGGAAACUGGGAGACUUGAGUGCAGAAGAGGAGAGUGGAAUUCCAUGUGUAGCGGUGAAAUGCGUAGAUAUAUGGAGGAACACCAGUGGCGAAGGCGGCUCUCUGGUCUGUAACUGACGCUGAGGCUCGAAAGCGUGGGGAGCAAACAGGAUUAGAUACCCUGGUAGUCCACGCCGUAAACGAUGAGUGCUAAGUGUUGGNAGGGUUUCCGCCCUUCAGUGCUGCAGCUAACGCAUUAAGCACUCCGCCCUGGGGAGUACGACCGCAAGGUUGAAACUCAAAGGAAUUGACGGGGGCCCGCACAAGCGGUGGANCAUG
rnacentral:rRNA from 1 species